UCCAGUGAUUUGUUUCAAGUCUAUUGCCGGCGAUGACGGAUCGACGGUGGAUUCGAGCAGAGCUCUGAUGGAUUUGUUACAGGAACACCUCCAUAGGUUAUACGAGAGGAUGUUUGGUUUCAAUAUGCAGUUGCGUUUGGCAGAAUCUUCGAUGUUGAAUAGGAUUUCUAUUUGUGUUGCAGAUCAAGGGCCUCAAGUGUACCAUGCUAGUAUCUGGUAAUGUGUUCAAUCAACAAAAAAGCAUCUUGAUACUGAUGGACAUACUUCACAACAUCAGUGAUCAGGUUCAUAUGAUGUUAAAGCUACAAUAUAUGAAGUGAAUAUGAUGGGGGAUACAUGAAUUUGAUUUAUAUGUUUGAUUGGAACCAGA